rnacentral:rRNA from 1 species
CGGACGGGUGAGUAAUGUCUGGGAAACUGCCUGAUGGAGGGGGAUAACUACUGGAAACGGUAGCUAAUACCGCAUAACGUCGCAAGACCAAAGAGGGGGACCUUCGGGCCUCUCGCCAUCGGAUGUGCCCAGAUGGGAUUAGCUAGUAGGUGGGGUAACGGCUCACCUAGGCGACGAUCCCUAGCUGGUCUGAGAGGAUGACCAGCCACACUGGAACUGAGACACGGUCCAG